GCUCUUGGGUCGUAAACCUCUUUUCUCAGGGAAGAACACAAUGACGGUACCUGAGGAAUAAGCAUCGGCUAACUCCGUGCCAGCAGCCGCGGUAAUACGGAGGAUGCAAGCGUUAUCCGGAAUGAUUGGGCGUAAAGCGUCCGCAGGUGGCUGUGUAAGUCUGCUGUUAAAGAGUGAGGCUCAACCUCAUAAGAGCAGUGGAAACUACACGGCUAGAGUGCGUUCGGGGCAGAGGGAAUUCCUGGUGUAGCGGUGAAAUGCGUAGAGAUCAGGAAGAACACCGGUGGCGAAAGCGCUCUGCUAGGCCGCAACUGACACUGAGGGACGAAAGCUAGGGGAGCGAAUGGGAUUAGAU
rnacentral:rRNA from 1 species